CCUACGGGGGGCAGCAGUGAGGAAUAUUGGUCAAUGGACGAGAGUCUGAACCAGCCAAGCAGCGUGAGGGAUGACGGCCCUAUGGGUUGUAAACCUCUUUUAUCAAGGAAUAAAACGACGCACGUGUCCCUUCCUGCGUGUACUUUAUGAAUAAGCAUCGGCUAACUCCGUGCCAGCAGCCGCGGUAAUACGGAGGAUCCGAGCGUUAUCCGGAUUUAUUGGGUUUAAAGGGAGCGUAGAGGGGUCUUUAAGCCAGGUGUGAAAGUUGGGGGCUCAACCGUAGAAUUGCAGUUGAUACUGGCAGUCUUGAGUACAGUUGAGGUAGGCGGAAUGCGUGGUGUAGCGGUGAAAUGCAUAGAUAUCGCGAAGAACCCCGAUUGCGAAGGCAGCUUACUAAGCUGCGACUGACGCUGAGGCUCGAAAGUGUGGGGAUCGAACAGGAUUAGAUACCCUAGUAGUC
rnacentral:rRNA from 1 species